AUUGAACGCUGGCGGCAGGCCUAACACAUGCAAGUCGAAUGGUAACAGGAAACAGCUUGCUGUUUCGCUGACGAGUGGCGGACGGGUGAGUAAUGUCUGGGAAACUGCCUGAUGGAGGGGGAUAACUACUGGAAACGGUAGCUAAUACCGCAUAACGUCGCAAGACCAAAGAGGGGGACCUUCGGGCCUCUUGCCAUCAGAUGUGCCCAGAUGGGAUUAGCUAGUAGGUGGGGUAACGGCUCACCUAGGCGACGAUCCCUAGCUGGUCUGAGAGGAUGACCAGCCACACUGGAACUGAGACACGGUCCAUACUCCUACAGGUGGCAGCAGUGGGGAAUAUUGCACAAUGGGCGCAAGCCUGAUGCAGCCAUGCCGCGUGUAUGAAGAAGGCCUUCGGGUUGUAAAGUACUUUCAGCGGGGAGGAAGGGAGUAAAGUUAAUACCUUUACUCAUUGACGUUACCCGCAGAAGAAGCACCGGCUAACUCCGUG
rnacentral:rRNA from 1 species